CCUACGGGCGGCAGCAGUGAGGAAUAUUGGUCAAUGGACGCAAGUCUGAACCAGCCAUGCCGCGUGCAGGAAGAAGGCUCUAUGAGUUGUAAACUGCUUUUGUACGAGGGUAAACACAGAUACGCGUAUCUGUCUGAAAGUACCGUACGAAUAAGGAUCGGCUAACUCCGUGCCAGCAGCCGCGGUAAUACGGAGGAUGCAAGCGUUAUCCGGAUUUAUUGGGUUUAAGGGGUGCGUAGGCGGUUGGAUAAGUUAGAGGUGAACUCCCGGGGCCAAACUUGGGAAUUGCCUGUGAUACUGGUCGGCUAGAGAGUAGUUGCGGUAGGCGGAAUGUAUGGUGUAGCGGUGAAAUGCUUAGAGAUCAUACAGAACACCGAUUGCGAAGGCAGCUUACCAAGCUACUUCUGACGUUGAGGCACGAAAGCGUGGGGAGCAAACAGGAUUAGAUACCCCAGUAGUC
rnacentral:rRNA from 1 species